AUGGUGGACAAAUUUGGCUGCUUGCAACCACUCUAAAAAAUGCUAAAACUGCAU
rnacentral:ncRNA from 1 species